ACGGAAGGCAGCAGUGGGGAAUAUUGCACAAUGGGGGAAACCCUGAUGCAGCGACGCCGCGUGAAGGAAGAAGUAUCUCGGUACGUAAACUUCUAUCAGCAGGGAAGAAAAUGACGGUACCUGACUAAGAAGCCCCGGCUAACUACGUGCCAGCAGCCGCGGUAAUACGUAGGGGGCAAGCGUUAUCCGGAUUUACUGGGUGUAAAGGGAGCGUAGACGGAAUUGCAAGUCUGAUGUGAAAGGCAUGGGCUCAACCCGUGGACUGCAUUGGAAACUGUGAUUCUUGAGUGCCGGAGGGGUAAGCGGAAUUCCUGGUGUAGCGGUGAAAUGCGUAGAUAUCAGGAGGAACACCGGUGGCGAAGGCGGCUUACUGGACGGCAACUGACGUUGAGGCUCGAAGGCGUGGGGAGCAAACAGGAUUAGAUACCCUGGUA
rnacentral:rRNA from 1 species